CUCCCUCUCUCUGUCCCUUCCCCUCUCACGCUCUGUCUCUCUCUCUCUCUCUCAAAAUAAAUAAACAUUAAAAAGUUUUUUUUUUUAAUAAUAAUAAGAUAACUUAAACAAACUAGUCUCUAACCUCCAAGGACAGCUACCCACUGAACCCCCGCCGCCGGGAACUGGCCCGGACCUUCGCCGGAAGUGUGCGCCGGAAGUGGGUACGACCGGCCCGCAGCUUUCUGGGACUUGUAGUUGGGGGCCCUUAGGCGCGGGCGCGGGUCAGUCUCGGGAAUACUGCGCUUGCAGGUGUAGGAUUCCACGUGGGAGUCUUGCUGGACUGGCUGGUCUGUACCCUGCAAGGUGGACUUGAUUUUCAUGGCUGUUUCUCUUUCCCUGACGCCACUUUUCCAGGACGGUGACCUUCCAGAGAGGAGGAAAUGACCUAGUGCCAGAUACAGUGGAGACCUGAGAGCUUGGGAGGAAACUGCUGCCUUCCCUCAUCAUUACCUUCCACUGGUGACAAGUAGGGUAGUCCUAUCGUUCCUGCAAGCGGCCUGGUUGUCUUCAGUUUCCUGAGGCGCGAGUGGGUAGAGCCCCUUCAGCCUCAGGCCUGAGGUGUUGGAGUUCUGACAGUUAGCAGGUUCUUCCCUGGCCCAGAGUUGAGCUGCUUCUGUGGCUUCACUUCGUUCUCAUUUUACGUAUAUUCUGUCAGUCUGCUUUUUAGGUGUGGCCUGUAGGCUGGUGGCAGCCCACAGACGGCUUGUUACCAGUCUGCAAAGACACAAGGAGAGACACUGAGAGUGUUUAAAAUAAUUCAACAUUUUAAUAAUAAUUUAAUAAGUUAAAAAUGGCUUCGGUAUUUUCUAUGUCUGGGUUUUUAUUUUCUAGUAACUCUUUUUUAUUGUAUUUUACAAAAAUGUGACAAGUCUGACAUAUUGGAAACUUUUUAAAAGAAAGUAUUCCUUCACUAGAGGUAAUUUGAGAAGUGUUGCUCCAUCCACAGAACUCUGGAAGGAACCAGAGUCACUGUGAAGUUAACUAAAUAAAUGUUUGGACGCCUGUUAAAUGACAGGCAUUGCUUGAGGAUGCAAGGAUCAGACACCUCUCUGUUCUUAAGUAACAUAUAUCUUAGUGGGGAGAGAUGGUAAAUAAGAAAGCAAAUGAAUAAAUAAGGAAAUGAGAUAAGGCAUAAGUAGUGCAAAGAAAUGAAAACAAAGAGAAGUGAUAGUUUCUGGAUGCUACUGUGGAUUAGACCAUCAAGGAAAUGCUUCUCUGACGAGCGGUAGUUCAGCUGAGACCUGAAUGAAAAGGAACCAGGUGUGUGUGGAUGUGGGAAAAGAAUGUUCUGGGCAGAGGGGACAGCCAGUUUAAAGGCCCUAAGUUGGGAUAGGUUUGAUGUUGUCAGGGACCUGCAAGGUCACUGCGGCCAAGUAUGACACGUAGGGAGGAGUGACUUGGGUUGAAGUUGGAGAAGUGACAGGACCCCAGUCUGUGAAGCUUUGCAGACUAAGAUGAAGGGUCUGGAUUUUACUCGAUGUCCGUUGCAAACCCCUUUGGAGGGUUUCCUGCCUGAUGUGAUGUUUUAAAAGAUCACCCUGGCUACUAUGUGGAAAAUUCAUUGUGUGCGGUAGCAAGUGUGGAAGCAGACAAAUUGGGAGGUUGGUACAAUUCAAACUUAAUAUGGCUGUGCUCAUAAUCAUAAUCUCCAAGGUGGAGAGAAGUGAGUAGAUUCUGAUGUGUUUUAGAGAUAGAAUCGAUAGGACUUGGUAUGGAUAAAAUGUGAGGAAGAGAGGAGAGAAUCAAAAUGACUUCUAGGACUUUGGCUUCAGCAACUGGGUGGGUUGUGUGGUCAUUUACUAAAAUGAGGACCCCCUAGGCAAAAGCAGAUAUUGAUGGAGAUUUUUAGGAGCAAGAGUUCCACUGGGGCCUAUUAAAUUUUAAAUGCCUCCUAGACAGCCAAGUGCAGAUGUUAAGUGGGAUUUGGAGUGUAGAGGUAAGGGGAAACAUUGCUGGGAAUACCUAAGGAUAGUAUUUUAUGGUAUGUGUGUAUGUGCUAUUUUCUUUUUUCCAGGAACGUUCAACUACUUAGUUUAGAAGUAGAAAGAACAUGAUUGAUAGGACUAGGGAAAGACUUGAAAUCAGAAGUAUACUUUGGGGGGGAAAAAAAGAAGUAUACUUUGGCUGGGAGGAAAAAAAAAAAAGGAGGAGUUAGCAGGUGGUGCUCUUGAUAAAAGAGGUGUGAUGGAAGAGAAAGAACAGGAAGAUGUUUUUAAAGAGUAGGAUAGUAAGAGAUUAAUAUUUCAAAAGCAGGGUGGUCCAUAUAGCAAAAUGGCCCUGGUUAUGGUUAUUGAGUUUGAAGAAAUGAGGCAGAGAUGAUUAGCACUAAAGUAGCUAAGAAACGUGAAGUUAGAGUGUUUAGCAAAUUGUUCUCUUGAGUGUUGAGAUUAUCAGGAUAGUGAUAGGAAUGGGUGGAAAAAACAACUCAGCAAUGUCAUGAGAUGACAGUGACAAGGAAAGAUUCAGUAACUGGACAGCUUAAGCUUGGGUGAGUUAUGGACAGGAAGGGAAGGAUUUGGAUAAAAAUAGCAAAGUGGAUGAGAAGAGAAAGUUGUUCCAACAAAACUUGACUUAAAUGACUCGUGUCCCUGAACUAUACUCUUCUGUACCCUUCUUGUCCAGUGCUACCAACCCCACAUUCCUUCCAAGGCAUUUGUGCAAAUGGUUGCCAGUUGAGGAGAAAUGUGCUAAAUGUUUUAGAAGCUAGUAACAUUCAAGGAUGUUUCUUGGGGCUUCACUGAGGAAGGGCAAGGCUGUCUGGACUCUGCUCAGAGGAAGCUGCACUGAGCUGUGAUGCUGGAGAACCACAGUUGGUCUCCAUAGGUAAGAACAUGAGCCUGGACACCUGCCUAUUAGAAUCUUUGUUUCUUCAAAUUUAAAUAGUGAUGGGGCCCCAGGGGUGUAGUUUAGGAAUUGAUGUUUCCUAAAAUUUUUUUUUUUUUUUUUUGGCACAAAGGAUGUUUCUGAUUAUUCUAUGCAGCCAAAGAAUUUGGCUUGUUAAGAAUUGGAGAAUGUAGGGGCGCCUGGGUGCUUCAGUUGGUUAAGCAUCUGAAUCUUGGCUUCAGCUCAGGUCAUGAUCUCACAGUUCAUGAAUUCGAGUCCACACUGGGCUCUCGUCUGACAGUGUGGAG